GCCUGGGUGGCUCAGUCGGUUGAGCGUCCGACUUCGGCUCAGGUCACGAUCUCGCGGUUCGUGAGUUCGAGCCCCGCGUCAGGCU
rnacentral:tRNA from 1 species